GGAAUCGUGGCAGAGUUGGUUUAUUGUAACAUCUUGGAAAGGUGUAGGUCUGUAAAAAGGUCCGUGAGUUCGAAUCUCACCGAUUCCUCCA
rnacentral:tRNA from 1 species